CCGGCCAUGUCACGUUGAAUCACCUGAUCCCGUACGAUCACCGGAGUUGAGCAACGCCGAGCCUGGUUAAGACCUAGAUGGGUGACUGCUUGCGAAUACCAGGUGCUGUAAG